UACGGGGGGGGCAAGCGUUGUUCGGAAUUACGUGGCGUAAAGCGCGCGUAGGUCGGCUUUUCAAGUCGAGUGAUGAAAGUCGUCCAGGCUUAAACCUGGGAACUGCAUUUGUAGACAUGCAUAGCUGGAGUGCGGGCAGAGGGGGGAUUGGAAUUCCGCGUGUAGCAGUAGAAAUGCGUAGAUAUGCGGAGGAACACCGAUGGCGAAGGCAAUCCCCUGGGCCUGCCAACUGACGCUCAUGCACGAAAGCGUGGGGAGCAAACAGG
rnacentral:rRNA from 1 species